CACAUUAGAGAUUGAAGAUUCGAAUGAACACAAAAAAUCUACCAAAACAUGAAUCAAAAAAACUGAACCGAUACAACAAUACCUGUCUGUAGCGUGAGCUAGGGUUGGAUACAUAAAAGGCUUGGAGUGGCCAAUUUGAUUGGAAAAACUAUGAGAGUUUAAAUUAGAGAUUGAGGAUUCAAAUGGACACAAAAGAUCUGCCAAAACAUGAAUAAAAAAAAUUGAACAUAUUCAACAAUACCCGCCUGUAUCGGGAG
rnacentral:lncRNA from 1 species